rnacentral:ncRNA from 1 species
CUCUUAUCUAGAGCGGUGGAGGGGCUGGCCCUAUGAAACCGCGGCAACCUUCAAACGAUUUAUUGUUUGAAAGGUGCUAACUCCUGCGAAGCGAUUGCUUUGGCAGAUGGGAG